rnacentral:rRNA from 1 species
UACAGAGGGUGCGAGCGUUGUCCGGAAUCACUGGGCGUAAAGGGCGCGUAGGUGGCCCGACAAGUCAAUGGUGAAAGCUCGACGCUUAACGUCGAGUCGGCCACUGAUACUGUUGGGCUGGAGCACUGUAGAGGCUCAUGGAAUUCCGGGUGUAGCGGUGGAAUGCGUAGAGAUCCGGAAGAACACCGGUGGCGAAGGCGGUGAGCUGGGCAGUUGCUGACACUGAGGCGCGACAGCGUGGGGAGCGAACGGG